rnacentral:rRNA from 1 species
UACGGAGGGUGCAAGCGUUGUCCGGAUUUAUUGGGUUUAAAGGGUGCGUAGGCGGCCCUCUAAGUCAGUGGUGAAAUACUGCAGCUUAACUGUAGCAUUGCCAUUGAUACUGGAGGGCUUGAGUACAGAUGAGGUAGGCGGAAUUUAUGGUGUAGCGGUGAAAUGCAUAGAUACCAUAAAGAACACCUAUUGCGAAGGCAGCUUACUAAGCUGUAACUGACGCUGAGGCACGAAAGCCAGGGGAGCAAACGGG